GCGGGUGUAGCUCAGAGGCAGAGCAGUACGUUGCCAACGUACAGGUCAGGAUUUCAAAAUUCCUUGCCCGCUCCA
rnacentral:tRNA from 1 species